rnacentral:rRNA from 1 species
UACAGAGAGUGCGAACGUUGUUCGGAAUUACUGGGCUUAAAGCGCACGUAGGCGGCGCCGCAAGUGUUGGGUGAAAUCCCACGGCUUACCCGUGGAACCGCCUGGCAGACUGCGGUGCUAGAGGAUGGUAGGGGAGAGCGGAACUCCUGGUGGAGCGGUGAAAUGCGUAGAUAUCAGGAGGAACACCGGUGGCGAAGGCGGCUCUCUGGUCCAUUUCUGACGCUGAGGUGCGAAAGCUAGGGGAGCAAACGGG